GUUAUUUUGAUAACAUAAUAAAAUUGGAACGAUACAGAGAAGAUUAACCAAGUGAAAGGAUGACACGCAAAUUCGUGAAGCGCUCCUCAUUUUG
rnacentral:snRNA from 1 species